rnacentral:lncRNA from 1 species
AAUGAUCUGUAAAUGGUAGUAAUGCUUUGAAACCCUGUUUUGGUAGCGGAUACGGGUUAGGGGUGUUACAAAACAACUCCCUCAAACUCGGAAGAAAGACCCGCAAGCAAGACUGCCGAUCGUUCAUCCUCCGGAAUCGAAGAACCAGAUGCUGCAAGAAGAGCACAUAACCCUUUAAUCUUAUCAACAUAAGAUCGAACAGAUAAGCUACCUUUCUUGAGCAAAUGAAGCUCAUGCCGGAGUUGAGAUUGCUUAGUGCUCGUGUCAACCGCAAACAAGCUAGUGGCCAAGAUCCAUACAUCACUCGCAUUUCGAACGUCCGUGAAGGAAGACAAAAACGACGGAUGAAUAGUGGAAAUCAACCAUGAAGUUAGAAGAUUAUCUUGUUGCAUGAAAAUCGAGGCAACCGGAUUUGAU